UACGUAGGGUGCGAGCGUUGUCCGGAAUUACUGGGCGUAAAGGGCGCGCAGGCUGUUAUGCGAGUCUGCUGUGAAAUGUACCGGUUCAACCGGUGCCUUGCGGCGGAUACUGCAUAGCUGGAGUACUGGAGAGGGAAGUGGAAUUCCCGGUGUAGCGGUGAAAUGCGUAGAGAUAUGGAGGAACACCAGUGGCGAAGGCGGCUUCCUGGUCUGUAACUGACACUGAGGCGCGAGAGCGUGGGGAGCAAACAGGAUUA
rnacentral:rRNA from 1 species